rnacentral:rRNA from 1 species
UGCGGAAGGAUCAUUAUUGAUUGGUCGAAAGACCUUAUCAGAUUCUACCACCUCUGUGAACUGUUGGACCUCCGGGUCUACAAUCAAACAUCAGUGUAACGAACGUAAGAGUAUCUUAACGAAACAAAACUUUCAACAACGGAUCUCUUGGCUCUCGCAUCGAUGAAGAACGCAGCGAAAUGCGAUAAGUAAUGUGAAUUGCAGAAUUCAGUGAAUCAUCGAAUCUUUGAACGCACCUUGCGCCUUUUGGUAUUCCGAAAGGCAUGCCUGUUUGAGUGUCAUGAAAUCUCAAUCCUCCUAGGUUUUUGACCUGGUUGGGCUUGGACAUGGGCGUCUGCCAGCAAUGGCUCGCCUUAAAUGACUUAGUGGAACAUCCCACAUCAGUGUUAGACGUAAUAAGUUUCGUCUCUCCUUGUGGUGAUGACUGCUCAUAAUCUGCCAUCGCGCACUUUUGACUUUGACCUCAAAUCAGGUAGGGCUACCCGCUGAACUUAAGCAUA